rnacentral:rRNA from 1 species
CCUACGGGAGGCAGCAGUGGGGGAUAUUGGACAAUGGGGGAAACCCUGAUCCAGCGACGCCGCGUGAGUGAAGAAGUAUUACGGUGUGUAAAGCUCUAUCAGCAGGGAAGAAAGAAAUGACGGUACCUGAGUAAGAAGCCCCGGCGAACUACGUGCCAGCAGCCGCGGUAAUACGUAGGGGGCAAGAGUUAUCCGGAAUUACUGGGUGUAAAGGGAGCUGAGGCGGGAAUGCAAGGCUGGAGUGAAAGGCGGGGGCCCAACCCCCGGACUGCUUUGGAAACUGUGUAACUGGAGUGCAGGAGAGGCAGGCGGAAUUCCUAGUGUAGCGGUGAAAUGCGUAGAUAUU